rnacentral:rRNA from 1 species
AUACGGAGGAUGCGAGCGUUAUCCGGAUUUAUUGGGUUUAAAGGGUGCGUAGGCUGUGCGUUAAGUCAGGGGUGAAAUGCCGUCGCUCAACGACGGAGCUGCCCUUGAUACUGGCGUGCUGGAGUACGGAUGCCGUUGGAGGAAUGCGUGGUGUAGCGGUGAAAUGCAUAGAUAUCACGCAGAACUCCGAUUGCGAAGGCAGCUUACUAAGCUACAACUGACACUGAAGCACGAAAGCGUGGGGAUCAAACAGGAUUAGAUACCCUGGUAGUCCACGCAGUAAACGAUGAUUACUAGCUGUUUGCGAUACACAGUAAGCGGCACAGCGAAAGCGUUAAGUAAUCCACCUGGGGAGUACGCCGGCAACGGUGAAACUUAAAGGAAUUGACGGGG